GACGAACGCUGGCGGCGUGCUUAACACAUGCAAGUCGAACGGAAAGACCCUUCUUUUGUGGGGUGCUCGAGUGGCGAACGGGUGAGUAACACGUGAGUAACCUGCCCUUGACUUUGGGAUAACUUCAGGAAACUGGGGCUAAUACCGGAUAGGAGCUCCUGCUGCAUGGUGGGGGUUGGAAAGUUUCGGCGGUUGGGGAUGGACUCGCGGCUUAUCAGCUUGUUGGUGGGGUAGUGGCUUACCAAGGCUUUGACGGGUAGCCGGCCUGAGAGGGUGACCGGCCACAUUGGGACUGAGAUACGGCCCAGACUCCUACGGGAGGCAGCAGUGGGGAAUAUUGCACAAUGGGCGGAAGCCUGAUGCAGCAACGCCGCGUGCGGGAUGACGGCCUUCGGGUUGUAAACCGCUUUCGCCUGUGACGAAGCGUGAGUGACGGUAAUGGGUAAAGAAGCACCGGCUAACUACGUG
rnacentral:rRNA from 1 species